UCGGGAAUUUUGGGCAAUGGGCGAAAGCCUGACCCAGCAACGCCGCGUGAAGGAUGAAGUAUUUCGGUAUGUAAACUUCGAAAGAAUAGGAAGAAUAAAUGACGGUACUAUUUAUAAGGUCCGGCUAACUACGUGCCAGCAGCCGCGGUAAUACGAAGGGGGCUAGCGUUGUUCGGAAUUACUGGGCGUAAAGCGUGCGCAGGCGGUCUUGCAAGACAGAUGUGAAAUCCCCGGGCUUAACCUGGGAACUGCAUUUGUGACUGCAAGGCUGGAGUACGGCAGAGGGGGAUGGAAUUCCGCGUGUAGCAGUGAAAUGCGUAGAUAUGCGGAGGAACACCGGAUGGCGAAGGCAAUCCCCUGGGCCUGUACUGACGCUCAUGCACGAAAGCGUGGGGAGCAAACAGGAUUAGAUACCCCAGUAGUCCCUGAGCGGGCUGGCAAGGCGCAU
rnacentral:rRNA from 1 species